rnacentral:rRNA from 1 species
AGAACGAACGCUGGCGGCAGGCUUAACACAUGCAAGUCGAGCGCACCGCAAGGUGAGCGGCAGACGGGUGAGUAACGCGUGGGAAUCUACCCAGUCCUUCGGAAUAACACAGGGAAACUUGUGCUAAUACCGGAUACGCCCUACGGGGGAAAGAUUUAUCGGGAUUGGAUGAGCCCGCGUUGGAUUAGCUAGUUGGUGGGGUAAUGGCCUACCAAGGCGACGAUCCAUAGCUGGUCUGAGAGGAUGAUCAGCCACACUGGGACUGAGACACGGCCCAGACUCCUACGGGAGGCAGCAGUGGGGAAUAUUGGACAAUGGGCGAAAGCCUGAUCCAGCCAUGCCGCGUGAGUGAUGAAGGCCUUAGGGUUGUAACCCUGUUGCCCGGGACGAAUGUGCACUUUUGAGUGCAUUGACGGUACCGGGUGAGGAGCACCGGCUAACUCCGCGCCAGCAGCCGC